CCCCAGCCAGCAGGUUGUUAAAUACCCACCAAGCAGAAGUAAAAACAAACGGAUUAUUAGGAACAUUGACCAUAAAUCCAUAAAACUACUAGAGCUCAAGAGCAAGAUGACGUUCUCAUAGUUGAUUCGGAUGAAGAAGAUUCUUCAAAUAAUGCCGACGUCAGUGAAGAA
rnacentral:sRNA from 1 species